rnacentral:rRNA from 1 species
CAGCCGCCGCGGGAAAACGGAGGGUGCAAGCGUUAAUCGGAAUUACUGGGCGUAAAGUGCACGCAGGCGGUCUGACAAGUCAGAUGUGAAAUCCCCGGGCUUAACCUGGGAACUGCAUUUGAAACUGUCAGGCUGGAGUCUUGUAGAGGGGGGUAGAAUUCCAGGUGUAGCGGUGAAAUGCGUAGAGAUCUGGAGGAAUACCGGUGGCGAAGGCGGCCCCCUGGACAAAGACUGACGCUCAGGUGCGAAAGCGUGGGGAGCAAACAGGAUUAGAUACCCGCGUAGUCCCUGUCUCUUAUAC